UGCUAAGGAAAGGAUUWAAACCUUUAUUUUAGCAUUU
rnacentral:tRNA from 1 species